rnacentral:rRNA from 1 species
GACGAACGCUGGCGGCGUGCUUAACACAUGCAAGUCGAACGGAAAGGCCCUGCUUUUGUGGGGUGCUCGAGUGGCGAACGGGUGAGUAACACGUGAGUAACCUGCCCUUGACUUUGGGAUAACUUCAGGAAACUGGGGCUAAUACCGGAUAGGAGCUCCUGCUGCAUGGUGGGGGUUGGAAAGUUUCGGCGGUUGGGGAUGGACUCGCGGCUUAUCAGCUUGUUGGUGGGGUAGUGGCUUACCAAGGCUUUGACGGGUAGCCGGCCUGAGAGGGUGACCGGCCACAUUGGGACUGCGAUACGGCCCAGACUCCUACAGGAGGCAGCAGUGGGGAAUAUUGCGCAAUGGGCGGAAGCCUGAUGCAGCAACGCCGCGUGCGGGAUGACGGCCUUCGGGUUGUAAACCGCUUUCGCCUGUGACGAAGCGUGAGUGACGGUAAUGGGUAAAGAAGCACCGGCUAACUACGUG